CCGGCGCCACCGGCCCGCGGGGAGCUGGCUGAGCUGAGAAGGGUUGGGAACCGAGGGAAGACGGCUUUGUCCGCACUGGGACGCACCGGGGAUGGAGAGCUGGUUUGUGAGUCGCUCAGAGAAAAGAAACCAGUGGUGCGAGCUCUGGUGCCAGGCCUGAAAGCUGUCACCAGUCCCCCACAGUUCUAUCAUAUGGUUCCCUGACCAGGAACAGCAGACGAGAGACUCCUGGGGCUUUCCAAUUUGAGUCCCCUGUCAUUCAGGACCAGGACCGGACUGCAUCCUGCAUUAAUUCCUCACUUCUACCCUUGGGAGCUGUAAACUUGUCACUGCUGGCUCGCAAACAACACUGACCCAAUUUACUACAGUCUAACAUAUGUGCAUUCACCAGUGAAGUUGUCCUGGCUAAAACACCUGGCACCAGCUUCUACCUGGACAUCAACCAUCAUCCUGUCGACUCCCCUAGACCCCAGUACAGCGUCCCCUGCCAGCAGGAAACAGUAAAGAGAGACAUCUUUGCUCCUUUUCAUAAUAAUAUUCAUAAGAAAGGAUAUGAAAGAGUUUUGGCCCAGACAGGACACUGUAGCUGGUAAAGCCUCAGACAGAACCAAGGAGCUCCUAUCUCCCCCACCCCUAGGAAUUUACCUGUGACUCUAUCUUCCCCACCCCUAGGAAUUUACCUGUGGUGCCAAAAGAAUACCAGUAGGCUACCCAUGCAUCCCUAAUGCCCCUCAGGCAUCACCCUAACCUAAGCUACAUGUAUGCCUCCACUCCACGUGUUCCACAGAGAGAUCGCUGACCCCGGGGGGAGAUCCCACACCACAGGGGAUCAGGGGUGUCUCUCCCCGCAUUCUCAAAAUAAAGGUCAUUUAUAUUUCA